rnacentral:rRNA from 1 species
UACGAAGGGGGCUAGCGUUGUUCGGAAUUACUGGGCGUAAAGCGUGCGCAGGCGGCUUCUCAAGUCAGGGGUGAAAUCCCCGGGCUCAACCUGGGAACUGCAUUUGUGACUGCAUGGCUAGAGUACGGUAGAGGGGGGAUGGAAUUCCGCGUGUAGCAGUGAAAUGCGUAGAUAUGCGGAGGAACACCGAUGGCGAAGGCAAUCCCCUGGACCUGUACUGACGCUCAUGCACGAAAGCGUGGGGAGCAAAC